CUCAGGCACAUGGAGAUGGGGACCCAAGCUCAGAUGCUCUUUCUCCUGUUCUUCUGGAUCCCAGAUGCCCGAGGGGCCGUUGUGCUGACCCAGUCUCCAGCCUCCCUGGCUGCGUCUCCAGGAGAGAGAGUCACCAUGUCCUGCAGGGCCAGUCAGGGUAUUAGCAACGACCUACACUGGUACCAACAGAAACCAGGCCAGGCCCCCAGGCUCCUCAUCUAUGAUGCUUCUAACCUGGCAUCCGGGGUCCCUGCCCGGUUCAGCGGCAGUGGGUAUGGGACAGAUUUCUCCCUCACAAUCAGCAACGUGGAGGCUGAGGACGCAGCAGUCUAUUACUGUCAGCAGUGGUAUAGCUCUCCUCCCACAGUGAUACAGCCCCGAACAAAAACCUGCCCAGCAGCUGCUGAGGGAGCAUCAGGGCCCCAGGGGCCUCUCCUUCCCCUGGGCUGGGACUGGGCAGCUUGUCUGGGCUGCCUCAAGGGGAGGUUUCUGGGUCUCAGAGGAAGAUGCUGGGGAUGUGAGAAUACUCCCCGAUUUAUUUUCCUGCCAAGAAUCCACCAAAAUGAAUCCACAGAGUAGCUGGCCCUGAAAUUAAGUCUCAUCCCCCGUGUCCAUCACUUCUCUGCCAGGAGGGGGCAGCACACUUACUUCAUCAUUGGUCCCCUGGAGAGAAAUGAUUGGUCAUUUUAGGGUCAGGAUUUCUCCCUCAUCUCUGCUGGAUCCUUCCCCAGAUCCUGCCCUCUAACUGUAGGUGCCCCUCGGGGCUCUAUCUCGGCCCCCAUUCUCUUCUCCUCUAUAUCACUUCCCUUGGUGACAUCAUCAGCUCCCAUGGAUUGAAUUCCCUUUGCUUUGCUGAGAAGUCACAGAUCUCCCUCUCCUGCCCCAUCUCUCUCCCACCCUCCAAGCUGGCAUUUUAGACAACACAGAUUGGAAACCCAGUAGACAUUUUAACUUCGCUAGGUCCUGUAUGUGCCAAAAUGUUUGUAGCAGCCCUUUUUGUAAUGGUUUGAAACUGGAAACGGAGUGGAUGCCCAUCAAUUGGAGAAUGGCUGAAUAAGUUACAGUAUAUGAAUGUUAUGGAAUAUUAUUGUUCCAUAAAAAAUGACCGGCAGGAGGAUUUCAGAAAGGCCUGGAGAGACAUGAACUGAGGCUGAGUGAAAUGAGCAGGACCACGAGAUCAUUAUAUAUCUCAACAACAAUAAUAUAUGAGCAUCAAUUCUGAUGUAAGUGGCCAUUUUCAACAAUGAGAGGAUCCAAAUCAAUUCUAAUUGUUCAGUAAUGAACAGAACCAAAUUCACCCAGCAAAAGAACACUGGGAAAUGAGUGUGGACCACAACAUAGCAUUUCCACUCUUUCUGUUAUUGUUUGCUGCAUUUUUGUUUUUCUUCCCAGGUUAUUUUUACCUUCUUUCUAAAUCCAACUUUUCUUCUGUAGCAAGAAAACUGUAUAAAUAAGUAUACGUAUAUUGUAUUUAACAUAUACUUUAACAUAUUUAACAUGUAUGGGACUACCUGCUAUCUAGGGGAGGAGGUCGAGAGAAAGGAGGGGAAAAGUUGGAACAGAAGUUUUUGCAAGAGUCAAUGUUGAAAAAUUACCCAUGUAUGUGUUUUGUCAAUAAAAAUCUAUAAAAAUAAAUAAAAUUAUGUUUGUUUUUACCAAAAAGUAAAAAUAAUAAUAAACUGGAUAGAUCCAAAUCAGAA